AUUGAACGCUGGCGGCAUGCCUUACACAUGCAAGUCGAGCGGAGAUGAGGUGCUUGCACCUUAUCUUAGCGGCGGACGGGUGAGUAAUGCUUAGGAAUCUGCCUAUUAGUGGGGGACAACAUUCCGAAAGGAAUGCUAAUACCGCAUACGCCCUACGGGGGAAAGCAGGGGAUCUUCGGACCUUGCGCUAAUAGAUGAGCCUAAGUCGGAUUAGCUAGUUGGUGGGGUAAAGGCCUACCAAGGCGACGAUCUGUAGCGGGUCUGAGAGGAUGAUCCUCCAGACUGGGACUGGGACACGGCCCAGACUCCUACGGGAGGCAGCAGUGGGGAAUAUUGGACAAUGGGCGGAAGCCUGAUCCAGCCAUGCCGCGUGUGUGAAGAAGGCCUUUUAGUUGUAAAGCACUUUAAGCGAGGAGGAGGCUACCUGGAUUAAUACUCUAGGAUAGUGGACGUUACUCGCAGAAUAAGCACCGGCUAACUCUGUGCCAGCCGCCGCAGUAAAAC
rnacentral:rRNA from 1 species